rnacentral:rRNA from 1 species
UACGGAGGAUGCAAGCGUUAUCCGGAAUCAUUGGGCGUAAAGCGUCCGCAGGUGGCGUAUCAAGUCUGCUGUCAAAGACAGAAGCUCAACUUCUGGCAGGCAGUGGAAACUGGUAGACUAGAGUACGGUAGGGGUUGAGGGAAUUCCCAGUGUAGCGGUGAAAUGCGUAGAUAUUGGGAAGAACACCAGUGGCGAAGGCGCUCAGCUGGGCCGUAACUGACACUGAGGGACGAAAGCUAGGGG